rnacentral:rRNA from 1 species
GUUUGAUCCUGGCUCAGGAUGAACGCUAGCGGCAGGCUUAAUACAUGCAAGUCGAACGGGAUUCGGGGUAGCAAUACUUUGAUGAGAGUGGCGCACGGGUGCGUAACGCGUAUGCAACCUACCUUUAACAGGGGAAUAGCCCCGAGAAAUCGGGAUUAAUACUCCGUAACAUUGCGGUGUGGCAUCACACUGCAAUUAAAGAUUUAUCGGUUAAAGAUGGGCAUGCGUGACAUUAGCUAGUUGGUGAGGUAACGGCUCACCAAGGCAACGAUGUCUAGGGGUCCUGAGAGGGUUAUCCCCCACACUGGUACUGAGACACGGACCAGACUCCUACGGGAGGCGGCAGUAAGGAAUAUUGGUCAAUGGGCGCAAGCCUGAACCAGCCAUGCCGCGUGCAGGAAGACGGCCCUAUGGGUUGUAAACUGCUUUUAUCAGGGAAUAAACCCCCGCUCGUGAGCGGGGCUGAAGGUACCUGAAGAAUAAGCAUCGGCUAACUCCGUGCCAGCAGCCGCGGUAAUACGGAGGAUGCAAGCGUUAUCCGGAUUCAUUGGGUUUAAAGGGUGCGCAGGCGGAUUGGUAAGUCAGGGGUGAAAUCCCACAGCUCAACUGUGGAACUGCCUUUGAUACUGUCAGUCUAGAGUAUAGUUGAAGUUGGCGGAAUGUGUCAUGUAGCGGUGAAAUGCUUAGAUAUGACACAGAACACCGAUCGCGAAGGCAGCUAGCUAAGCUAUAACUGACGCUCAUGCACGAAAGCGUGGGGAUCAAACAGGAUUAGAUACCCUGUAGUCCACGCUGUAAACGAUGAUUACUCGAUGUUGGCGAUACACAGUCAGCGUCUGAGCGAAAGCAAUAAGUAAUCCACCUGGGGAGUACGAUCGCAAGAUUGAAACUCAA